UCAACCCUAACUCAGAUAUACCUCGCAGACCCAUAUAAAAUAGAAUUAAUUUCAUGCAUGUCUCUACAAGUAUAGUGAAUUAUAAAUAGAGGCAAUUACUUAUAUAUUCCUGAAAAAUUUCGAUUUUUCGAUUUACCCUUUUUAGAAGGCUAAUAUUGAAAAUAACUUUCUACGUUCCAACCUAUUUCUAAUAUACUCCUACUAGAGUUAAAAUCUAUUAAUUAACUCUAUUAUCUCUGUAAAAUUACUAUUUUGCCAUUUCAAAUAUAUCCUUCCACCAUCACUGACAUUCUUAUUUAUUUGCCCUUAAAGUCAGGGGCACAAAAAGUAUUUUGAGCUUUAGUCUUUUCAAAUAUAUCCCUCUACGGUCACUAAUAUUUCUUAUUUGCCCUUAAGUCAAGGGCAAAAUUGGUAUUUUAAUUUUUUUAACUGUGGUAGAUAUUUAACUCACGUUUAACCUAAGUGAACUUAACAGGAGAUAACUGCGGAGGUAUUUUGCAAUAACGGUAGAAUAUAUGAGGGGUAUUUUAUAAAAAAAAAAAAGGAAUAAAUCGGAUAUUUUAAAACAUAUAAGGGGUAUAUAGGUAAUUAUCCCUUAUAAAUAUAUUCCUACAAAGUUCAUUUUUUAUUUGUUGUCUCUGUAAAAGUUCUGUGGUUUCAAAUAUACCCCUACCGUUAUGAUUCAUUAGAAAAAAUUAGUUAAUCACAGGUAAAAUACUUAACGUUAAUUAGUUAAUGAGGUGAAUUGACUUUUUAGUUUUCUUUAAUCAAUAGUUGGGACUUUUGGAGGGUCAUAUUUGUGAUGGCAAAAUAGUCAUUUCACUUAUAAAAUAAAUAGUAUUUUAACGGUAACAAAUCAAAUGAAUAUAUUUGAAAAUAUUAGGAUUUUUACAGUGAUAAUAUAUAAAAGUUGAACUUUGUAGGAAUAUAUUUGUAAUUCACUAUGUUUAUAGAGAUAUGUAUGAAAUUAAUCCUAUAAAAUAUAUGUAAAUCUUUA
rnacentral:lncRNA from 1 species